CCCAAGAUGACCUAUCAUUCAUGUGAUCCCUAUCUACAUAUGCUAUGUAUAUGCAAUGACUACUACAAACAUUCUUUUACAAGUUCAUAAUACAAUCUCAUUCUCUUCUAAUCCUCUCUCAUUUAUCACUGAAUAGUAACAAUCUAAACUUAUAAGCAUUUGAAAAAAAAAAUCCAUAUAUAUAACUCCGAACAAUAAUCACAUCAUACAGCAAUCAUCAUCACCUCCUUGACCUCUUCCUUGCCCUCCCACCUCCAACCUCUACACGUGCAUCACCAUUAUCUCUCCCUCUCUUCUUCCUUAUGCCACCACCCGACUCCACUGUACUUUUUGCCUGCUUCUUUGGUGGCCUUCCAAUUCUCUUUGCACUUCCACUCUCUUCUCUAGCCCUAGAACUCCUUGUAACUCUUUCUGUAAUUCCAUCUCUAUUUCUUCCUCUUUUUCCUUUCUCCUCUUUUUCUUUCUCAUCUUUACUCUCAUCCUCAGAGGAAUCAUCUUCAACAUCAUUCUCCAUAACUUGACUCGGUGAAUUUUGCUUUAUUCUUUUCAAAAAGCUAGCUGCUCCUUGCCUCUUCCUUGUGCUACUUCCUUUUCUUUCCACCUUCAUCUCCAAAGCAUCAUGGGAACUAAGCUCAUUGCCACCAUACUGAUGCUUUAUCUCUCCAUUUUUUUUGGUGUUAUUAGAAUUUCUAUGACAGGAUAUCGACCUCUCUUUUGUCAUUUUCUUCCUUGUGCCCUUCUCCUCAAUCCUAACAAAGGAACCUUCAAUCUUUUUCUCAUUUGCUUUUGUUUUGUUUUCACCCUCCCUAUCUUUUUUAUCAACCUUUUUAGUGGCACUUUCAGAUAUUCCUUUUGCUGAAUUUCCCUUGCCACACACAACGAUGGUACAAGAUUUGUUGGGCUUUGAAAACGAAAUGGGUUGUUGUACGGGUAUAGGUUUCACGGUGACAGGUUCAGGUUUUGCUUCACAAAGCUUCUCCGUCAUUUCCUUUCGAACUAUAGUUAGGAGGUCACGAGCAGCAAGAUUUUCUGGUGAAUUUUUUCCAAAGAAAGUAAUAGCAUUGUUGAAUAAAAGGAGAAGAUCUCUGAAAAAUUUUUGAAGACAUAGAGAGUAAGCCCCUCCAUCAAGCCUACAUUGAAUCAUUUGAAGAUCUAUAUGCUGCUUGAUCAAUUUUUUAUACCUUUUAGAUUCCUGACUUUGAAGCCGCCGCUCGAACACAGAGCCAAGCCGAUGAGACCGAAUGAUCCCUAGGAGUUUAACUAACGGCUCAGAUUUGACGGCAGGCAUCCGCUUCAUGGCGGGAGAAACCUCGUCACCACCUUCGGGCUCCUCUCCACUACUGCUACCAACUCCAACCCCGUUUCCACCGCCAGUAAUCAACUUACGACGUCGAUUAUUCCUCUUCAGUGACAAGCUAGCUGAGCUUUGCACGUCACUAUUUUGCUUCUCUUUAUCUUCCCGCUUAGACUCUCCCACCGACUCGCCCAGCUCAUUCGACUCGCCGAGCCCACCCGUCGUCUGACUCGUUUUUAUUUCAGGUUCCUUUUUAUCCGUCGGUAUUUUAUCAUUUUCGUCAUCAUCAACCUCGCGCAACUUACCGUUGUGGGACCAAUCCCUCUCAGCCUCUGGGUCGGAUCCAGUAUGAACCGGAUUCUUCUCAUUUGUAUUUGCUGGUUUGGGUUUUAUAUCAGGCUCUCCAUUUACGGCGUCGUUUUGAUCUAUCAUCGUUGUCCUUUCAGCUUUUUGUUGACUGGUGGAGUUUGACUCGUUGAAAGAUCGAUUAUCUCGCUCAUCACCAGACUCGUUACCGUGGGCGGAUUUCCCGACGAUUAGUUCCGGAGAGGUCCCUUUCUCCCUCGCCAGAUCUGCCUCUUCUCUCAAACUGCGCUCUCUCUCGUCCUCUAAUCUCUUUACCUUUAAUUCAAGCGACCUGCAGCGACAAACAGAGAACAAUACAAAAAAAUUCUCAGAUCUCAAACAAUACCAGACCACCUAGAAUCGGAUCUUCAACAAGAAGAGCGAAAUUUACACGAUCGACACAUCACGUCGUUGGACCUCGCGUCGAAGCUCCUCCACGCGAAUCCUACGGAGUUCAUCGACCAUGGAAACGAGGCUGGCAGAUGUGUCGUUUGAGGGCAUGAACCGGCGUUUAAGGUCGUUGAACUUGUCUAUACAGUGUUGAGAAGUGAGGGAGGAGAGAGUGGUGGUUCGGUUCUGUACUUCAACAGCGACGGAGUCCCAGCUCUGGGUACCGUGGCGGUUCACGGCACAUGCUAGCAAUAGCUCCUCUAACGUGCCCCAAGGUUGUGCGAUCCUUUGGUGUUCCCUAGCCAUUAAUCUCUGUUAUGCCAUGAUUAUUUGUUUUCUGGUCUUCGUUUGUUUUCUUUUUUUAAUUUGUUUUGAAAAUUAAGGUUUUUGGCGUUUUGAUUGAUAGGGUUUCCUUUUAUAUAUAUACUGUUUGUUGAUGGACGACGAUGGCUUUUUUAUUAUUCUUAUUAUUAAAUCUAUUUUCUCA
rnacentral:misc_RNA from 1 species